AAAUCAUUCAGCACUAUGUAGCUCCCUAUCUGCAUCGAGCUCAGGAUCUCCGUCUGCCCCGCAGAUCCCUCUCGUAAUUCUUCCACAUCGAGUUGAGCCAUUUCCCCAUGGAACCCAGGGGCACCGCCGCCGCGGCCGCCAGAGCCGUCACCACGGGAGGGCGGACACGGCGGCGGCCACCACCGAGCAUAUCAGCACGGACGCGAACAACGUGAUGAAUAUCACGUUCGAGAUCCGCCGCCACGACUUGAGCCGCCGGAGCUUCUUGUCGAGCUUCCGCUUCUUCGCCUGCAGCCUCUCGAACAUCGCG
rnacentral:lncRNA from 1 species